GCUCGUAGUUGGAUUCCUGGCCUGGGGUAGCCGGUCCGCCUUGCAAAAGGUGCGCACUGUGCGGCCUCGGCCAUCCUUGAGAAGAGCUGUUCUGGCAUUCAGUUGUCGGGGCGGGGAUUCUCGACGUUUACUGUGAAAAAAUCAGAGUGUUCAAAGCAGGCUUACGCCUUGAAUACAUUACCAUGGAAUAAUGAGAUAGGACCUUGGCGGUCUAUUUUGUUGGUUUGCACGCCGAGGUAAUGAUUAAAAGGGACGGUUGGGGUUCUUCGUAUUCAAUUGUCGGAGGUGAAAUUCUUGGAUUUAUGGAAGACGAACUGCUGCAAAAGCGUCGAACAAGGACGUUCUCAUUAAUCAAGAACGAAAGUUAGGGGAUCGAAGAUGAUUAGAUACCAUCGUAGUCUUAACCAUAAACUAUGCCGAUUCAGGAUUGGCGGUCGUUUGUUCUCGACUCCGUCAGCACUGUAUGAGAAAUCAAAAUCUUUGGGUUCCGGGGGGAG
rnacentral:rRNA from 1 species